rnacentral:rRNA from 1 species
CCCUUAGAUGUUCUGGGCCGCACGCGCGCUACACUGACGAAGUCAGCGAGCAUGUCCUACGCCGACAGGUGCGGGGAAUCUUGUCAAACUUCGUCGUGAUGGGGAUUGAUUAUUGAAAUUCUUGAUCAUCAACGAGGAAUUCCUAGUAAGCGCAAGUCAGCAGCUUGCGUUGAUUACGUCCCUGCCCUUUGUACACACCGCCCGUCGCUACUACCGAUUGAAUGGUUUAGUGAGAUAUUCGGAUUGGCGCCACUGCGGCUCAGCAAUGGGCUCGGUGGAUGCCGAAAAGUUGAUCAAACUUGAUCAUUUAGAGGAAGUAAAAGUCGUAACA